AUAGAUUAAUUUCUUAACAUUAAGUCGCGAUUGGUAGGACUUGGGAGGGUCCGUGCCAAGUCUUAGGAAUUAGAAUUCAUUAGCCUUAUUUAGGUAAUUCACAUUCAAAAAAAAUUCGAGAAGGUCGCGACACGCAUGAAACCGUUGAUCAAGAGGCCAGAGGAGUCCCUACACACACAAGCCACCGAAGCGUCACUAGAAAGGGAUCGCCUCUCCUUUGUAGGGUCUCCUUGAUACAAUAGUGGGAUCUGGCAUCUGCUAAGGCGGAAAAAACGACCUGCUCAGCGUUUGGUUGCUACUGCCGAAAUAUGUAAUGAUUCCGAGCCUUCCAAAUAUACCAGAGGAUUGAAGUAGUUGUCGCUAGGUCUGGUCAGAUAAGACAACCUAAUUCGAGUGGCCAUGAGGCUGAUUAGUCAGCACUUGGAGCUGGUUUUUAAGGAAACUUAUCUGGAGGUUGGCAUUAGUAAAUUUGGAUCAACUCCAACAUGAUAAAGCAGCAGAGAUAGCUUGUAGUUUUCGGUGUAGCAUCAUGUCUCCAAGUUGGGAAGAUGCCCAAGAAUCAGCUAUUGUGGAGCGACAUUCCAUAUCUUGAAGCCAGUAAGCUUCGAAGUAGAAAGAUCUUUGUUGUUUACGACACUGUGUUGCUUCAAUAGACAAGAGAAGUGGGUUGUGGUCAGAUCCAAUAGCUGGUAAAGCCAACACUUCCGCAAGAGGCCCUUAUUUCCUAGGUCCAUGAGAUGACAAUCAUUGAGGAGAUCCGAAAAGAAAGCAUACGAUGAGUCUCGGCAGGAUGCUUCCCUACUUUCUCCCAUGGAUACAAAAUUUCGUUAAAAUCGCCUAUGCACAGCCAAGGUAAGACGCAUUGUGAUCCCAUAAGCCUGGUUAGUGUAGAUGAAGUCAAGGAUAGCCAAAGAGUGAGAGGUCACUGUCAAAGACACUCGAUCAUUCCAAAAAACUGUCAAACCUCCAGCCAAACCUACUGGAUUUUCGAUGAAAUUUGCUGAGAAUCUGAGUUUCCU